GUCUACAGCCACGCCACCCUGAAUGUGCCCGAUCUCGUCUGAUCUUGGAAGCUACUCAGGGUCAGGCCUGAGUAGUACUUGGAUGGGAGAUCGCCUAGUUGGACCAGGCGCUGUAGGCG
rnacentral:rRNA from 1 species